rnacentral:rRNA from 1 species
ACCUACGGGGCGCAGCAGUGGGGGAUAUUGCACAAUGGGGGGAACCCUGAUGCAGCGACGCCGCGUGGGUGAAGAAGUAUUUCGGUAUGUAAAGCCCUAUCGGCAGGGAAGAAUUUAGACGGUACCUGACUAAGAAGCCCCGGCUAACUACGUGCCAGCAGCCGCGGUAAUACGUAGGGGGCAAGCGUUAUCCGGAUUUACUGGGGGUAAAGGGAGCGUAGGUGGCAAGGCAAGUCAGAAGUGAAACCCUCGGGC